GCUUAAUUUGACUCAACGCGGGAAAUCUUACCGGGUCCGGACACACUGAGGAUUGACAGAUAUAUACCCGUGAGUACUUCGGUGCUCGCGGGUUGAAAGAUGCUAGUUCUUUCAUGAUUAUGUGAUAGGUGGUGCAUGGCCGUUCUUAGUUCGUGGAGUGAUCUGUCUGCUUAAUUGCGUAUCAAUAAUAGAGACCUAGUAUACGCGUAGACUCAUGCGGUAGUGACCCCCCUUCACAGGGCGCGUGUCGCACGUAUGUUAUACGCACAGGUCUCCGAUAGCAACGAACGUGACCGUACUCUAUUGUUGCAGCGACAAUACCUUUCAACGGGUAUUACCGCUGCUUAGCAAGAUUCGUCUUGCAUUAAACUAUAGAGACCGCUGUUUCUUCUUUAAACCAGAGGAAGGAUACGGCAAUAACAGGUCUGUGAUGCCU
rnacentral:rRNA from 1 species